CUCAAAAUUCCGGGAAUGGGCACACAAUUUUUCAGUCCCGUGAUCAGAUCCUGAAUCCCAACCCCCAAGACCUGAGGCCUCUGUCAUCUCCCCAUCCCCAGGCUAACAACCACAGCCCCUCACUUUUAGAGAUUAGGAGACCCUUUGUGGAAGAGUGAACUUCACAAAUAGCACAAGUUCAGAAGACAUGUAGGGUGUCUUCUCACACACCACACUGUGACGCACGCGGAACUGCCAUUGCGGGGUCAAUCACCAGGCACUUGCACGUGUAGAAACCCGUAGACUUUGGUUACUGCUAUAUCCCCCUUGAGAUCCUUGCUGGGUGCCUACCAGGAUUUCAUGUGAGGGCCAGGGAUGCAUAGGCAUGGCCAACCUUUGGUGGAUCAAAAGAGC
rnacentral:lncRNA from 1 species